AUGAUAUCCACAAAGAUACGUUUGGCAACAUUUUAUUAUGACUACUUUUCUCAAUUUUUGUUUAUCUGUUCGUGUUUAUCACCAAGGUUUAUUACAAUUAUUACCCUGUGGCAUUUGAAAAGCACUAUGGGUGACUUUACCGAAGUCAUGUUGAUUUCUGCUAUACCGAAAGAAUGCCAGACAGGUUCCAAUGGUGCUAGUCUGUGUUUUCAGGAGAAAUGCAUGAAUGAGAGCUUUGACGUGGAUGAGUGUUGCUCUGAGCUGCACCAUGGCAAAAUGGACGAACGCACUGCCAAGAGUUCUCUAAACUCCUUACUUAAAGAGCUGUUAGAUGAAAAGAUUUCUACUCAGAGGAAAAAUCAUUGGAUACUUGGCCCUGAGGACCUCAAUGAUACUCUUGUUUAUGAUUUUGAGAUGGAAGAAGCGGCCUGAGCUUUUUGUUAAUGCCUACAUGGUGUUGCUUUCACCUGUGAAUAAAUGUUGCAGGUGAAAGUGCAGUUUUUAAAAAUCUCUUCAGAUAAUAGUAACUUGUAAAUAAAGUGUAUAUUUAUUUAAA
ensembl:lncRNA